rnacentral:rRNA from 1 species
GACGAACGCUGGCGGCGUGCUUAACACAUGCAAGUCGAACGGCAAGGCCCUGCUUUUGUGGGGUGCUCGAGUGGCGAACGGGUGAGUAACACGUGAGUAACCUGCCCUUGACUUUGGGAUAACUUCAGGAAACUGGGGCUAAUACAGGAUAGGAGCUCCUGCUGCAUGGUGGGGGUUGGAAAGUUUCGGCGGUUGGGGAUGGACUCGCGGCUUAUCAGCUUGUUGGUGGGGUAGUGGCUUACCAAGGCUUUGACGGGUAGCCGGCCUGAGAGGGUGACCGGCCACAUUGGGACUGAGAUACGGACCAGAGUCCUACGGGAGACAGCAGUGGGGAAUAUUGCACAAUGGGCGGAAGCCUGAUGCAGCAACGCCGCGUGCGGGAUGACGGCCUUCGGGUUGUAAACCGCUUUCGCCUGUGACGAAGCGUGAGUGACGGUAAUGGGUGAAGAAGCACCGGCUAACUACGUG